rnacentral:rRNA from 1 species
UGGGGAAUAUUGCGCAAUGGGGGGAACCCUGACGCAGCCAUGCCGCGUGAAUGAAGAAGGCCUUCGGGUUGUAAAGUUCUUUCGGUAUUGAGGAAGGUUGAUGUGUUAAUAGCACAUCAAAUUGACGUUAAAUACAGAAGAAGCACCGGCUAACUCCGUGCCAGCAGCCGCGGUAAUACGGAGGGUGCGAGCGUUAAUCGGAAUAACUGGGCGUAAAGGGCACGCAGGCGGUUAUUUAAGUGAGGUGUGAAAGCCCCGGGCUUAACCUGGGAAUUGCAUUUCAGACUGGGUAACUAGAGUACUUUAGGGAGGGGUAGAAUUCCACGUGUAGCGGUGAAAUGCGUAGAGAUGUGGAGGAAUACCGAAGGCGAAGGCAGCCCCUUGGGAAUGUACUGACGCUCAUGUGCGAAGGCGUGGGGAGCAAACAGGAUUAGAUACCCUGGUAGUCCACGCUGUAAACGCUGUCGAUUUGGGGGUUGGGGUUUAACUCUGGCGCCCGUAGCUAACGUGAUAAAUCGACCGCCUGGGGAGUACGGCCGCAAGGUUA